rnacentral:rRNA from 1 species
CAGUCGCCGCGGUAAUACGUAGGUACCGAGCGUUGUCCGGAUUUAUUGGGCGUAAAGGGAGCGCAGGCGGUUUAGUAAGUCUGAAGUUAAAGGCAUUGGCUCAACCAAUGUAUGCUUUGGAAACUGGGAAACUUGAGUGCAGAAGAGGAGAGUGGAAUUCCACGUGUAGCGGUGAAAUGCGUAGAGAUGUGGAGGAGCACCAGUGGCGAAGGCGACUCUCUGGUCUGUAACUGACGCUGAGGAGCGAAAGCGUGGGGAGCGAACAGGAUUAGAUACCCCCGUAGUCCCUGUCUCUUAUACA